GUAUCCCGUAUCUGGUCCAAAGGACACUUGGGAGAUCAUGGACAGGAGCUGUGAUUCUCUAGGAGAGUUUAUAAGGUGGAACGUCAAGCAGCAAGAGACUAAAGACUUCAAGAUGGAAAAUGAAAGCACAGCAAGUUGUCAUGGCUGCAGAACUCUGAUGUGGGGCCGGGUGAUUUGACAUAUAAGGUCUGGCUGGCCUUGGGCUUCCUGUCUCUGGAGGAACAUUCACAAUAAACUGGGGAACUACUUUCUGGGAAUGCUACACACACACCACACAUGCGUACACAGCGUCAUGGAAUUUGUUCAUCAGAACGAAAUGUGUGAAAUACACCCAAAGACUCUUUGCCAGUCCAAUAUGCAAAGAAACCAACAAUGAGCUUAAAAACUGUUUUGUUUUGUUGGGUCAAUUGACUGAAAAAAGAUGGGGACAAUUCGUCAUUCAUCAAUCGGUGCCAGAAAAAAAAAUCAGUGUUAUUUUUAGAGGUAGUGAUAUACAAACAGGAAAGCAGACAAGAGGAGACCCACCAUGGACCGCCUGUGGAGUUUUGAUCAAGUCGCUCAGCCUUUUUGGGCCUCAAGGGCACACAGUUGGUGGCGGAGCCGAGCUGAUCAUCUGUGACUCUCAUCUCACAGUUUGUGUUCUGAAUCCACUAUCCUCCAUGGAGACAGACACCAUCAAGGACAAGCACCUGGACUAUCUCCUCCUGCAAAGAGAUAUGGACUGGUGGGAAAGCUGCUGACCAGCAAGGUCAUGAGCUCCCUCCUCUCUGCAAGUGUCUCAAGGCCAAAGACAGGCUGGUGGGAAAGCUCCGACCAGCAAGGCCAUAUGCUCCCCCUCCCCUACCUAAAACCCCAAAUAAAAACCCGUCCUUUUAGCUUUUCGGGGAGUUUGGGAUUUCAGCGUUAGCUGCCCUCUCUCCUUGCUCAGCGCUGUGCAAAAAUAAAAUUCCUGCUUUCUUCCACCACCCCUGGUGUCAGAGAUUGGCUUGCUGUGCAACGGGUGAGCGAACUCACUUCGGGUUCGGUAACAGUUUCUCUAACCUUCCUCCGUGGUGGCGCCAGCCAGGACAGGUGCUUUUGUACCUCAAGGAACUAGUUACUGUCUUUCUGGAGGUUUCUUAGUAAAAUGCCAUGGAAAAGGGAAGAAGCCAAGGCUGGCAGGAGGGAUGUGGG
rnacentral:lncRNA from 1 species